CCCAAAAGUCUCAGUCUCUAAAGUCUUUAACAAGAUAAGGAGAUUACACCUAGUCUUGAUCAACACCAGUGCUCUGUUACAGUUCAGAUGUUUGCUCAAGUGUAGAUCUAGGUUAAUCUGUCUAGUCUGUUAGAUCUUCCACCAAUGAAGAGAGCAAGACUGUGAACCAUAGCAAACGUCACCCUGAGAUGAGUCCAACCUAAAGAUUUUCAUUGAAGAUGGACAUCCACAAUUUUCUUCCCUCAAAUGUCACAGUCUACCGAGUGUCGAAUGGAGGAGAAACGGCUAUUGGUGUCUAUUUGGUGAUACUAGGAUGGCUUUCUUGGAUUGGAAAUGGGGUUGUAAUAUUACUUUUAACCAAGCAAAGAAGGUCUCUUGAACCACAGGAUUUCUUGACUCUCAACCUUGCCAUUUCUGAUGCCAGCAUUGCUAUUUUUGGGUAUUCUCGAGGAAUCCUUGAAGUUUUUGAUGUUCUUAGGGAUCAAGGCUAUCUUAUAAAGAUGUUUUGGACUUGCAAGGUGGACGGAUUCCUAAUCCUGCUCUUCGGACUCAUCAGCAUCAACACACUGACAGCCAUCAGUGUCAUCCGCUACAUCAAAGGUUGUCAGCCUCAGCAUGCUCAUCACGUCAACAAGCGCAAUAUCUGCUUGGUCAUAGCUGCUGUCUGGCUGUGCUCUCUGUUCUGGGCUGGGUCUCCGCUUCUAGGCUGGGGCAGUUACAGAGCUCGCAGGUAUGGGACGUGUGAAAUCGACUGGAUGCAGGCGCUGUACUCCGUUCCGGUCAAGCUCUACGUCAUCAGCAUUUUCUUCUUCAACUUCUUUGUGCCACUAUUUGUUAUAGUUUUUACAUAUGUUUCCAUCAUCCGAACCGUCAACUCCAGCCACAAGUCCAGUCGUGGAGGAGAUAUCAGCGAGAGGCAGAGAAAGAUUGAACGCAGCAUCACACGGGUCUCCCUCAUUCUGUGUGCGGCCUUCCUGUUGGCCUGGUCCCCGUAUGCAGUCAUUUCCAUGUGGUCCGCCUGGGGUUACCAAAUACCCCCACUCAACAGCAUCCUGGCCAGCCUCUUCGCCAAGUCAGCGAGUUUCUACAAUCCGUUUAUCUACAUUGGCAUGAGCUCGAAGUUCCGGAAGGACCUGCAGGCUCUGUUCUACUGCCUCAGACCCACAUCAGCGCUCAGGCACACCCCUCCUGUGCCAUUGGCCCGGCCCGGUGAUGUGCAGCUCGACGUCAACGGCUUUAAGGAGAAUGAGUCGGUGGACCUUAAUGCAAAUGAAAACAUACAGGAGAGAAAGUCAGAGAGCCCUCCUGAAUCAGAACGCCAGGACAGGCCUUUACCAAAGUCUGGAAAGAGUGUAAGUCCUCGUGGGUUAAUGAGGAAACCAAGCGACUCGGGAAGACUUUAACAGUCAUUUUUGUUAGUUUAUGUCCUCUGUAUGUUUAUGUAAGAUGGCGAGAAUAAUAUUAGGAUAAUACAGUACAUUGACUGUCUCUAUUAUCUUAAUUUCUCAAGAGAACAGGACACUCCAAGCUACUAGUGAGUCACGUUGUCUACAAAUGCUUCAUGUUGAACGUGAGGUCGUCGUGUUAAUCCAAUAAUGUUGAGGUUAAAGGUUUCGCUUCAUCUCUUUCUUUUAGGCUUGUAAGCUAUUGACAUUUAAUUGUAUGUCUGUAUUGCAUUAUUCAGGGUUGCUGGAGAUUCCUCUCCCAUCCCAGUAACUCAAAUACAAACUUUGAAUUUAACAAUAAUAAUAGCGUUAGGGAAGAAAAUGAAUAUGUCUGUAAAAGAAAAGGACACUAUCUAAGACGGAAGGAAUGUAGCUUUUGAAGAAUAAGACAAUAAACAACUAUCUUACUAAACAAAAACAGAACAUAAAAUGAAGACAAUCUGCAAAAACAAUGGCAAUGACCUCUCAACAUCCUUCCUUCAGAAUUGCAUUUCAAAAUCCAUUUAUAAAAAGAUACAUUUCUCAAAAUAAUCAGAGUUUGAAACUUUGACUUUUGACACCAAAAGCGAUUAAAAAGGAGCAAGAAAAAGAAUCUCAUGAAUUGUGUUUCUGCUAGUGAUAGUGAAAUUUUUAUUGUAGUAGUGCUUUUUUAUUAAAGUAUUGCUUUUUUUUUUCUUUUUUUUGUGGUUUUAGCUAACUAAAAUAACCCUGGUUUCUCGUUUAUUGCUGUCUUCAUUCUCCCAGCAGUUAAUCUUGAUGAGGUGUUUGUAAUUUGGUGAGGUUUUAAGCUUGUUAUAAUCAGCAAAGCACCAGCAGGAAUCCUGGUGUGAACCCCUAGGAUGGUCUGAAGGAGCCAGCGCAGGAGGAUUUACAAAUUGAUCAUGCAUGGUGACUGCCAAGUAAGAAUCUCCUGUCUCUCCACAAACGUCCCUGUUUGACCAGACUGUAAUGUCAGGACCUCAGUACAAAUUACUCAAGCGCAGAACGAACAGAACAGUCAGGUAAUGGUGUUUUAUUUACAUUAUCCAGGCGCAUAAUUCAAAAGCAGCAGGCGUGCUCUAGUCAAAGGAACAGUGAAGGUUUGAGUCCAAACAGAGCAGCAGGAACAGUCAAACAGUCCAGAGUCAUAAUUCCAAGAACAGACAAGGACAAAAGAAGUGUCCAGAUUACAUGGGAAAUCUAUACUAGAUCGUCGGAGCUAGUGGCAAGUUGGAUAUGAAUUGGGAUUUUUCUCAAAGAACUGACUAACACCUCAGUGACCUGAUCUUGCGGUUGUGGGAAAUGUCCUCCUCCUGCCCCAUUCACAGCGCUCAAACACACUCUACUCAAGCAUGUCCCCACUUCCAAUGACAUCCAAGAGAAUUAGUCCCACAUGGUGGUCACAAAAUAAGAGGAUCUUGGUGUUGUGGUGAAUGUUCUCUCAAAUUAGCGGUGUCGGGGGUUAAAGUAGGUCUGUUAUGCAAGGAGAUUUUUUGGCGUAGACCCCAUAUGCUUAUUUUGGUGCAAGACUACUUGAAAAAUAAUGAAUGCUGGAAAAUAUUAAUCAGCGUGAUGUUGUAUAAUUUUAUGAUUUAUGGGAGGAAAGUCCUAAGAGAAAGUCGUGGAUCUGCUAAGAGAUGAGAAGAUAUCCAAUAUACACUGUCUAGUUUAGUAGUGGGUAUGAUUUACAUUUUUCUAAAGAAAUCUUUUAUCCUGACCAAGGGUGCAUUUAUUUGGUCAAAAAUACUGCAAAAACAGAUUCAUUUUGUGAAUAUAAUGUAUAACUGUGAUGGCAAAG